rnacentral:rRNA from 1 species
CUUCCGUAGGUGAACCUGCGGAAGGAUCAUUACUGAGUGCGGGCUGCCUCCGGGCGCCCAACCUCCCACCCGUGAAUACCUAACACUGUUGCUUCGGCGGGGAACCCCCUCGGGGGCGAGCCGCCGGGGACUACUGAACUUCAUGCCUGAGAGUGAUGCAGUCUGAGUCUGAAUAUAAAAUCAGUCAAAACUUUCAACAAUGGAUCUCUUGGUUCCGGCAUCGAUGAAGAACGCAGCGAACUGCGAUAAGUAAUGUGAAUUGCAGAAUUCAGUGAAUCAUCGAGUCUUUGAACGCACAUUGCGCCCCCUGGCAUUCCGGGGGGCAUGCCUGUCCGAGCGUCAUUGCUGCCCAUCAAGCC